GAUGAAGAACGUAGCGAAAUGCGAUAAGUAAUGUGAAUUGCAGAAUUCAGUGAAUCAUCGAAUCUUUGAACGCACAUUGCGCCCGCCAGUAUUCUGGCGGGCAGGCCUGUUCGAGCGUCAUUACAACCCUCAGGCCCCCGGGCCUGGCGUUGGGGAUCGGCGGAGCCCCCCGUGGGCACACGCCGUCCCCCAAAUGCAGUGGCGGUCCCGCCGCAGCUUCCAUCGCGUAGUAGCUAACACCUCGCGACUGGAGAGCGGCGCGGCCACGCCGUAAAACACCCAACUCUUCUGAAGUUGACCUCGAAUCAGGUAGGAAUACCCGCUGAACUUAAGCAUAUCAAUAAGCGGAGGA
rnacentral:misc_RNA from 1 species